AUGAGACCUGAAUUCUAAUCCAGACUUGAACCUGGAGCUGUUCAAACUUCAGUUGUAUAUGGGUAGGCUUUUGGAGAAGCAUAUAUUUUUUUGGCACAGCUUUGGAAAUUUAACAGAUUCAAAUGCCCGUAGGUCUUUGAAGCUAGUAACCGAUUAUUAUGAGGCCAUCUGGUGGUGGAGUGUGUGCCAGGCAAGAGUGAAAUAGUCGGAAAAAGAGCCCAGCAUUUUCAUUUCUGAAGGUGCUUUUGUCCUCAUGAGGCAAAUUCUCAAGUCCUUUGGACACCCGCUCCACAUGUGCUGGGGAAACGCUGCACUGCCAACCAUUUUCUCCUGCAAGUUUCUGGUAAGCAUACCUAAUUUGGGGGCAGCUGUUGCCCUGCCCAACCCAC